rnacentral:rRNA from 1 species
GACGAAUGGCCCGAGGAGGCAAUGCCUCGGGUGUGACGGUACUUGCAGAGGAAGCACCGGCUAACUCCGUGCCAGCAGCCGCGGUAAUACGGAGGGUGCGAGCGUUGUUCGGAAUGAUUGGGCGUAAAGCGCACGUAGGCGGCCCGUUAAGUCUCUUGGUGAAAGGCCGGGGCUCAACCCCGAGGCGAGCCGGAGAUACUGGAGGGCUGGAGAGAGGCAGAGGCCAGCGGAAUUCCGGGUGUAGCGGUGGAAUGCGUAGAGAUCCGGAAGAACACCAGAGGCGAAGGCGGCUGGCUGGGCCUACUCUGACGCUGAGGUGCGAAAGCGUGGGGAGCGAACAGGAUUAGAUACCCUGGUAGUCCACGCCGUAAACGAUGGAGACUAGAUGCCGGGGGGAUCGAGCCCGUCGGUGUCGGAAGCUAACGCGUUAAGUCUCCCGCCUGGGGAGUACGGCCGCAAGGCUGAAACUCAAAGGAAUUGACGGGGGCCCGCACAAGCGGUGGAGCAUGUGGUUUAAUUCGAAGCAACGCGAAGAACCUUACCUGGAUUUGACAUGCUAGAGAAAGCCCGGUGAAAGCCGGGCCCCCCUUCGGGGCUCUAGCACAGGUGCUGCAUGGCUG